ACACGACUCUCGGCAAUGGAUAUCUCGGCUCUCGCAUCGAUGAAGAGCGCAGCGAAAUGCGAUACGUGGUGCGAAUUGCAGAAUCCCGCGAACCAUCGAGUCUUUGAACGCAAGUUGCGCCCGAGGCCAACCGGCCAAGGGCACGUCUGCCUGGGUGUCAAGC
rnacentral:rRNA from 2 species